GAUGAACGCUGGCGGCGUGCCUAAUACAUGCAAGUCGAGCGAAUGGAUUAAGAGCCUGCUCUUAUGAAGUUAGCGGCGGACGGGUGAGUAACACGUGGGUAACCUGCCCAUAAGACUGGGAUAACUCCGGGAAGCCGGGGCUAAUACCGGAUAACAUUUUGAACCGCAUGGUUCGAAAUUGAAAGGCGGCUUCGGCUGUCACUUAUGGAUGGACCCGCGUCGCAUUAGCUAGUUGGUGAGGUAACGGCUCACCAAGGCAACGAUGCGUAGCCGACCUGAGAGGGUGAUCGGCCACACUGGGACUGAGACACGGCCCAGACUCCUACGGGAGGCAGCAGUAGGGAAUCUUCCGCAAUGGACGAAAGUCUGACGGAGCAACGCCGCGUGAGAGAUGAAGGCUUUCGGGUCGUAAAACUCUGUUGUUAGGGAAGAACAAGUGCUAGUUGAAUAAGCUGGCACCUUGACGGUACCUAACCAGAAAGCCACGGCUAACUACGUACCAGCAGCCGCCGUAA
rnacentral:rRNA from 1 species